UUGCAGUUAAAAAGCUCGUAGUCGGAUUUCAGUAUUAGGCCCUUCUUCCAAUACGGUUGCUAGUGGUCUUUACUUCCUUAACAGAAUCUUUCAUCUCAUUAAUUUGGGGUGUUUGGGGCCUGUUUCUUUUACUUUGAGAAAAUUAGAGUGUUCAAAGCGGGUUUUCGCCUGGAUAUUACUCUUGGAAUAAUAAUAUAGGACUUUGGUUCUUUUUUGUUGGUGACUUAGAACCGAAGUAAUGAUUGAUAGGGACAGUUGGGGUCAUUCGUACUAUGAAGCGAGAGGUGAAAUUCACGGACCUUUGUAUGACGAACUACUGCGAAAGCAUUUGACUAGGAUGUUCCCGUUGAUCAAGAACGAAAGUUGGGGGAUCGAAGACGAUCAGAUACCGUCGUAGUCUCAACCAUAAACUAUGCCAGCUAGGGAUUGGAGGAAGAUCAUUUUACGUCUCCUUCAGCACCUUAUGA
rnacentral:rRNA from 1 species